rnacentral:tRNA from 1 species
GCGCCAGUAGCUCAGCUGGAUAGAGCAACGGCCUUCUAAGCCGUGGGUCGGGGGUUCGAAUCCCUUCUGGCGCA